rnacentral:rRNA from 1 species
AUGUGGGUGGCGGAGCGGGUGCUGGGGGAGCGCCGGAUGCGGGAGAUCCAGCGCUUCACCCGGAACGCCAAGCUCACCGUCGUCUGCCUCAUGCUCACCAUCCUCGUGCUCCGCGGCACCGUCGGGGCGGGCAAGUUCGGCACGCCGCAGCAGGACCUCACCGAGCUGCGCCACCGCUUCAUCUCCCACCCGCAGCGCGCGCUCUCCGAGCACCACGACGCCCGCUCCAAGGCCUCCGACGCCCAGGCCCAAGCCACCAAGGCCGCGGGGAAGGCCGCCGCCCGGGACGACGAGCCGGAGCCGCAGCCCAGGUCGCUCCGGGACCCGCCCUACACGCUCGGCCCCAAGAUCUCCGACUGGGACGAGCAGCGGGCCGCCUGGAACCGCCGCCACCCGGAGACCCCGCCCUUCCUCAACGACGUCAAGCCGCGGGUCAUGCUCGUCACGGGGUCCUCCCCCAAGCCCUGCGAGAACCCCGUCGGCGACCACUACCUCCUCAAGUCCAUCAAGAACAAAAUCGACUACUGCCGCAUCCACGGCCUCGAGAUCUUCUACAACAUGGCGCUGCUCGACGCCGAGCUCGCCGGCUUCUGGGCCAAGCUCCCGCUCCUCCGCGCGCUCCUCCUCGCGCACCCGGAGGUCGAGUUCUUCUGGUGGAUGGACUCCGACGCCAUGUUCACCGACAUGGCAUUCGAGCUGCCGUGGGAGCGCUACGGCCCCUACAACUUCAUCCUGCACGGCUGGGACGAGAUGGUCUACGACGACAAGAACUGGAUUGGUCUCAACACCGGCAGCUUCUUGCUGCGCAACUGCCAAUGGUCGCUCGAUUACCUCGACACCUGGGCGCCCAUGGGGCCGAAGGGCCCUGUUCGUAUUGAGGCUGGAAAGGUGCUCACCAAGUACCUCAAGGACCGGCCGGUCUUUGAAGCCGAUGAUCAGUCGGCCAUGGUGUAUAUCCUCGCUACCCAGCGUGAGAAAUGGGGUAACAAGGUGUAUCUCGAGAAUGGCUACUACCUCCAUGGCUAUUGGGGGAUCUUGGUGGACAGGUACGAGGAGAUGCUUGAGAAUUACCAGCCAGGGCUCGGCGAUCAUCGGUGGCCACUGGUCACUCACUUUGUCGGGUGCAAGCCAUGCUCCAAGUUUGGGGAUUACCCUGUUGAGCGGUGCCUCAAGCAGAUGGACCGUGCCUUCAAUUUCGGGGAUAACCAGGUGUUGCACAUGUAUGGGUUUGAGCACAAGUCUCUUGCGAGCAGGAGGAUCAAGAGGAUCAGGAAUGAGACCAGUGACCCUCUUGAUAUGAAGGAUGAUUACGGGUUGCUCCACCCAGCGUUCAAGGCCCUCAAGACUACUACAUGA